rnacentral:rRNA from 1 species
GUGAACGCUGGCGGUAGGCCUAGCACAUGCAAGUCGAACGGCAGCACAGUAAGAGCUUGCUCUUACGGGUGGCGAGUGGCGGACGGGUGAGGAAUACAUCGGAAUCUACUUUUUCGUGGGGGAUAACGUAGGGAAACUUACGCUAAUACCGCAUACGACCUACGGGUGAAAGCAGGGGAUCUUCGGACCUUGCGCGAUUGAAUGAGCCGAUGUCGGAUUAGCUAGUUGGCGGGGUAAGGGCCCACCAAGGCGACGAUCCGUAGCUGGUCUGAGAGGAUGAUCAGCCACACUGGAACUGAGACACGGUCCAGACUCCUACGGGAGGCAGCAGUGGGGAAUAUUGGACAAUGGGCGCAAGCCUGAUCCAGCCAUACCGCGUGGGUGAAGAAGGCCUUCGGGUUGUAAAGCCCUUUUGUUGGGAAAGAAAAGCAGCAGGUUAAUACCCCGCUGUUCUGACGGUACCCAAAGAAUAAGCACCGGCUAACUUCGUG